rnacentral:lncRNA from 1 species
CCCCCCCCCGGGAAAGGAGGCCGGGUUUCACCGGGAGCACCGGAGCCGUCUCCCCGGCGCGGCCCCUUUCCGAGCGGAGCGCGGCAGGCGCCGGCUCCGGAACCGUCAAGCUUUCGCUUCGCCACCUGGAAGUCGAAAGGGGGCGGGAAGGAGAUUUGGCAGCAACCGAGCGACGACGACGACGACAAAGCGGCAUCGAGGAAUCGCCCGGAAAAAUCAAAAAAAUGGGAAAAAGCGGAAAAAAAAAGAAGGGAAGGGAGCGGUGGGAAGGCCCCAAAUCCGCCGGGAAGGAGGGGCCGGCGAGCGCCCGGCUCGGGGGGCUCGCGGCGAAGCCCGUCCUCGUCCUCCUUGCCACCGUCCUCCUCCUCCUCCUCCUCCUCCUCGGCCCCGCUGCAGCAGGGCUGUUCCGGCAGCGGAUCCGCCCGGGGCGCUGGCGCCCAAGGCCGGAAUCCGCCGUUUUCGGAGCCACCGUGCCCCCGUUUCCCCCCUCCCCAAGCUCCGAGCCAGCGGGAGGUUUCCCGAUCCGGGUCGGGUCCCUCGGAGCAGCGGCGGAGCUGUCACCUACCGCAGGUCACUUUGGCGGAGCCGGGGGCUUCGGGCUGGGGGGCGGGAGCCGCCGCGGCCCCCCGGCGCCGGCCGAGCGUCCCGGCCCUCGUCCGGCCUCUGCUCACCCGCUUCCGCUUGCCCGAGGUGGAACCUGGCGGAGAGACGAGCGGCCGUGAGCGAUGCCGCUCGACUUCCCCGCUCCCGAAAACGGUCAAUAACGCGCUGCUUCCCAAAAAACGGCGGGAAGAAUUUUCCCGAUGGCUCCUACCCGUCUCCCAGUGCUCGUGGCGGGGUUCGGCGGCGGCGGAAUUGAGGCAAGUGUCCACGCGGCGGUCGGAGGCGGCCACCGAGGGGCCGUACGUGUACCUUUCCGGGGACACUGCGGGGAAAAAGGGAGUGAGGACGUGAGCGGGACGGGAUGAGCCGGCGCGGCCGCUGCCUCCCCCCUUUUCCCCCGAAUCCGGCCGCGCCGGGCGGUACCUGUGCGCUGCCGCUUGAGCGUGGCGUAGGGCAGCAGGUCGUGGCGCGUGAGCACGCGGAGCAGCUGCAGCAGGUGCCGGAAGUUGGUCUCGUCGCACAGGCCGCGGCGUUCCAGCUCCAGCAGCAGCUCCACGCCGU